CUUCGGGGGACGAUAACGGCGUCGAGCGGCGGACGGGUGAGUAAUGCCUAGGAAAUUGCCCUGAUGUGGGGGAUAACCAUUGGAAACGAUGGCUAAUACCGCAUGAUGCCUACGGGCCAAAGAGGGGGACCUUCGGGCCUCUCGCGUCAGGAUAUGCCUAGGUGGGAUUAGCUAGUUGGUGAGGUAAGGGCUCACCAAGGCGACGAUCCCUAGCUGGUCUGAGAGGAUGAUCAGCCACACUGGAACUGAGACACGGUCCAGACUCCUACGGGAGGCAGCAGUGGGGAAUAUUGCACAAUGGGCGCAAGCCUGAUGCAGCCAUGCCGCGUGUGUGAAGAAGGCCUUCGGGUUGUAAAGCACUUUCAGU
rnacentral:rRNA from 1 species